rnacentral:rRNA from 1 species
CGCUGGCGGCGUGCCUAAUACAUGCACGUCGAGCGAACGGACGAGAAGCUUGCUUCUCUGAUGUUAGCGGCGGACGGGUGAGUAACACGUGGAUAACCUACCUAUAAGACUGGGAUAACUUCGGGAAACCGGAGCUAAUACCGGAUAAUAUUUUGAACCGCAUGGUUCAAAAGUAAAAGACGGUCUUGCUGUCACUUAUAGAUGGAUCCGCGCUGCAUUAGCUAGUUGGUAAGGUAACGGCUUACCAAGGCAACGAUGCAUAGCCGACCUGAGAGGGUGAUCGGCCACACUGGAACUGAGACACGGUCCAGACUCCUACGGGAGGCAGCAGUAGGGAAUCUUCCGCAAUGGGCGAAAGCCUGACGGAGCAACGCCGCGUGAGUGAUGAAGGUCUUCGGAUCGUAAAACUCUGUUAUUAGGGAAGAACAUAUGUGUAAGUAACUGUGCACAUCUUGACGGUACCUAAUCAGAAAGCCACGGCUAACUACGUG